rnacentral:pre_miRNA from 1 species
AGUAUUACUGUUGUGUUAUAUGCUAAGUCACGUAUGUUCAGUUUUUUUGUUUAAGAAACUGCCCGAUUAUUUUUCAGAAUGGCUAUAACAUUUUAUAUUCCCACCAGCAAU